rnacentral:rRNA from 1 species
GAUGAACGCUGGCGGCGUGCCUAAUACAUGCAAGUCGAGCGAACGGACGAGAAGCUUGCUUCUCUGAUGUUAGCGGCGGACGGGUGAGUAACACGUGGAUAACCUACCUAUAAGACUGGGAUAACUUCGGGAAACCGGAGCUAAUACCGGAUGAUAUUUUGAACCGCAUGGUUCAAAAGUGAAAGACGGUCUUGCUGUCACUUAUAGAUGGAUCCGCGCUGCAUUAGCUAGUUGGUAAGGUAACGGCUUACCAAGGCAACGAUGCAUAGCCGACCUGAGAGGGUGAUAGGCCACACUGGAACUGAGACACGGUCCAGACUCCUACGGGAGGCAGCAGUAGGGAAUCUUCCGCAAUGGGCGAAAGCCUGACGGAGCAACGCCGCGUGAGUGAUGAAGGUCUUCGGAUCGUAAAACUCUGUUAUUAGGGAAGAACAUAUGUGUAAGUAACUGUGCACAUCUUGACGGUAACUAAUCAGAAAGCCACGGCUAACUACGUG